rnacentral:rRNA from 1 species
GAUGAACGCUGGCGGCGUGCCUAAUACAUGCAAGUCGAGCGAACAGACGAGGAGCUUGCUCCUCUGACGUUAGCGGCGGACGGGUGAGUAACACGUGGAUAACCUACCUAUAAGACUGGGAUAACUUCGGGAAACCGGAGCUAAUACCGGAUAAUAUAUUGAACCGCAUGGUUCAAUAGUGAAAGACGGUUUUGCUGUCACUUAUAGAUGGAUCCGCGCCGCAUUAGCUAGUUGGUAAGGUAACGGCUUACCAAGGCAACGAUGCGUAGCCGACCUGAGAGGGUGAUCGGCCACACUGGAACUGAGACACGGUCCAGACUCCUACGGGAGGCAGCAGUAGGGAAUCUUCCGCAAUGGGCGAAAGCCUGACGGAGCAACGCCGCGUGAGUGAUGAAGGUCUUCGGAUCGUAAAACGCUGUUAUGAGGGAAGAACAAAUGUGUAAGUAACUAUGCACGUCUUGACGGUACCUAAGCAGAAAGCCACGGCUAACUACGU